AUCGCUUCUCUGCUCCUUGGAGCUAAGAUCAAAAGCGCAGUGUCAGUUCUUAUCAGUUUAAUAUCUGAUACAGUCUUCAAAGGACCUAUGUUAAAUUGAUUUUUGAAACAAGGGGAUGGAAUAGGAGCUUGCUCUGUCCACCCCAUGCAUUGACCUGGUAUUGCAGUGUCUCCAGGACCACUGCCUUUCCU